UACGAAGGGAGCUAGCGUUGUUCGGAAUCACUGGGCGUAAAGCGCACGUAGGCGGAUGUGUCAGUCAGGGGUUAAAUCCCGGAGCUCAACUUCGGAACUGCCUUUGAUACAGCACGUCUUGAGUCCGAUAGAGGUGGGUGGAAUUCCUAGUGUAGAGGUGAAAUUCGUAGAUAUUAGGAAGAACACCGGUGGCGAAGGCGGCCCACUGGAUCGGUACUGACGCUGAGGUGCGAAAGCGUGGGGAGCAAACAGG
rnacentral:rRNA from 1 species